UAUAUAUAUAUAGUCCGGCUGGAGUACUAUCGACAGCACCAAGAAUUUGGUGCUAUCGAGUUUUCUACCGUUAGAUUUAACCCUCUAAUUAUUUUUACUCAUUAGAUUAUACUAUUCAAUCAAUCACUCACUCAACCCUAGGAGGGCUCACAUCAUCCUAACUACCUAUUUCUCAAUUUAAGGGCUAAAAAAUCACUAGCACCAAUAGCUUGGUACUAUUGAUAGUAUUCCAGUCUAGUUCUCUCUCUCUCUCUCUAUAUAUAUAGAGAGAGAGAGAGAGAGAGAGAAAGAUUGAGUGAGUGAGAGAGAACUAGAUUAUUAUACUAUUAAUAGUACUAAGUUAUUAGUGCUAUUAGAUUUUAGACGCUUGAAUGAAGAAAUGUGCGGCUAGGAGGAUAAUGAUUCCUUAGGGUUGAGCGGGUGGUUGGUUGAAUAAUAUAAUUUAACGACUGGAAAUGAUCAAAAUGGUAGAUUUAAUGGCAGAAAAACUUAAUAACACCAAGUGUUUAGUGCUAUUAAUAGUUUAGUAGCCAGACUCCCUCUCUCUAUAUAGAGAGAGUUGAGAUUUCGUGUUUUUAAAAGCGCGCACAUGAGUAUUUGUGCUAAUGAUUUUUUAGCUAUCGUAUCGCCUCAAGAUCUAUAUAGCACUAUUAAUAAUGUUUCCUUUAAAUUUUCUUUACUAAUAUUGCACGAAUUUUGAGGCAACGGACGGCUAAAAAAUCACAAGCACCCA
rnacentral:lncRNA from 1 species